rnacentral:rRNA from 1 species
AGGACGAACGCUGGCGGCGUGCUUAACACAUGCAAGUCGAGCGGAAAGGCCCUUCGGGGUACUCGAGCGGCGAACGGGUGAGUAACACGUGAGCAAUCUGCCCUUAGCUUCGGGAUAGCCCCGGGAAACCGGGAUUAAUACCGAAUACGACCUCGGCCGACAUCGGCUUUGGUGGAAAGUUUUUCGGCUAGGGAUGAACUCGCGGCCUAUCAGCUUGUUGGUGGGGUAAUGGCCUACCAAGGCGACGACGGGUAGCCGGCCUGAGAGGGCGACCGGCCACACUGGGACUGAGACACGGCCCAGACUCCUACGGGAGGCAGCAGUGGGGAAUAUUGCGCAAUGGGCGAAAGCCUGACGCAGCGACGCCGCGUGGGGGAUGAAGGCCUUCGGGUUGUAACCCCUUUCAGCAGGGACGAAGCGAAGUGACGGUACCUGCAGAAGAAGCGCCGGCUAACUACGUGCCAGCAGCCGC